GAUAUGGAUUCCAACCCAAGCGGUGCUCAUUUAUCUGAGCACACACUUAGCCAUAAUGGACGCAGUGAGGCCUCAAACCAUGAAUCCCCCUCUGCCAGUCCUGAAAGUCCAUCCUCCACCCCUCUCCUCACAUUUUCACAUUCAAACCAGACUCUGACAACUCCAGCUCACAUAGACGCUGACUCAAACGUCAUGUCUUUUCUAGAAACUCCACCCAGCAGCGAUUCCAAGCCUCCUGAUCCAGCUCCUCAGGAUGUGCUGCAAUCAAAGGCCGCUGACUCCUCCUCAGACCAACCCUCUCUUUUUUGGAGGAUGCUUGGACUCCACACCACUAUCCUCAACAGGAGUCCAGGUAGCUGGUACACAUUUCAUCACAGUUCUGCACGCCUAAACCACAGAUCUGCUUUCCACCAAACACAACGUUUGGUUUUUCCAUUACUGCCUGACACCAUAGAAUUGGUAGCAAUCGCUUCAGUGUGUGUUUGGAGUAACCUGAUAUGCCCCAGGGCCCUCAGUGAUGUAUAUUCUCUGAAUAUUUUAUUUCUUAAAUUUGACAAACUAGCAUCACGAUUCGGAAACGUCUCACUGAUGGAGGGUUGUCCUUUGUCUGAUGGCCUCCUCGUUUACAUGUCCUGUUUUUUUGUAAACCAGAAGCUAACAUGCAGAUCCAAACCUUAUCUUACACACACUCGGAUUGUAACAGGGUUUAGCAGUGACCUUAGUGAACCUUCACAUGUGCACUCAGGCAGUCUGUCUCCCUCGCCGUCCAGCAUCCACGCAGGGAAAUGCCUUCAAUCAGAUUAGAGGCUGUUCACAGGCGCAGAGAGGACGUAUCGAUUUCUGUCCUGUUGCUCGCGGUGGUGGAUGUACCUGCAGCGAGAAGCUGACACAGAUCCAAUUAGACCUGUUACCAGAGCUAUUUGACCCAACAAGCCGCUUUCAUUGCUUUUGUCCUGAUAUUGAUACACUGCUGCUCCACUUGCAUUAUGUUUAAAAGAAAAAAAAAAACUGCAAAGUGACAGAUCUGCACAUAUAUUUAACUGACAGCAGCUGCAAGAAUAGAGACUGAAAACUCAUGAGACACUUUAGUCAUUGUCACAUGUAUAACAGAAUUGAAAGAGCUCUUAGUUCAGUGCAUCAUUCAUUAAAAAACAAAUUUAUCGCUAGUACAUUUUCCCCUAAUAAGCAGUGUGUUAUUCAGCCAUUUCAAAAAAAUCUAAAUCAUUUGCAACUAAUAGAAAUAAAGUG
rnacentral:lncRNA from 1 species